GCCCUUGUAGUUCAAUGGAUAGAACACCGGACUUCUAAGCCGGUUAUGUUGGUUCGAUUCCAACCGAGGGCA
rnacentral:tRNA from 1 species